UGGCUCAGAGCGAACGUUAGCGGCGGGCUUAACACAUGCAAGUCGAACGCGAACACCCCUUCGGGGGCAAGUANAGUGGCGCACGGGUGAGUAACACGUAGGCAAUCUCCCCUCUGGUGGGGGACAAGCGUCCGAAAGGACGUCUAAUACCGCAUAAGACCACAGCACCCACGGGUGCAGGGGUAAAAGGUGGCUUCGGCUACCACCAGAGGAUGAGCCUGCGGACCAUCAGCUUGUUGGUGGGGUAACGGCCUACCAAGGCUAAGACGGUUAGCUGGUCUGAGAGGAUGAUCAGCCACACUGGCACUGAAACACGGGCCAGACUCCUACGGGAGGCAGCAGUGGGGAAUAUUGGACAAUGGGCGAAAGCCUGAUCCAGCCACGCCGCGUGAGUGAUGAAGGCCUUCGGGUUGUAAAGCUCUGUGGGGAGGGACGAAAAAGGUACGGAAGAUAACGCCGUGCCCUUGACGGUACCUCCUUAGCAAGCACCGGCUAACUCUGUGCCAGCAGCCGCGGUAAGACAGAGGGUGCGAACGUUGCUCGGAAUCACUGGGCGUAAAGCGCGUGUAGGCUGAUACGCAAGUCAGGUGUGAAAUCCCUGGGCUCAACCCAGGAACUGCAUCUGAAACUGCGUGUCUGGAGUGUCGGAGAGGGAAGCGGAAUUCCUGGUGUAGAGGUGAAAUUCGUAGAUAUCAGGAGGAACACCGGUGGCGAAGGCGGCUUCCUGGACGAUUACUGACGCUGAGACGCGAAAGCGUGGGGAGCAAACAGGA
rnacentral:rRNA from 1 species